AGCAGCAGGACAUUGCUAUUAGAAAAGAUUUACAUCUGAAUGUCAAGUCGAACAAGCAGCAAAGAUUCAAAGCGGAGUAGAAUCACUUCGGAUCCAUAGCAGAGAUUAUAAUGACCUUCAAUGUAAGUUGCGUCUAGUUUGAUAAUCUCUGCAUUUGUAGCCCAGCGGCGACUCGAACAUGGACAUCAAAGCUACUUAAGUCCAGAUGGACUGAACACUCAACGUCGGCGACAUCUGACGUUGUCGACGAGGCAGCUCGUCAUUAUUCAUACUUCUGGAGAAGGCUGAUUAGAAAUUGCCAUUCAGAGAGCCGCAAGAAAUCUUCUCAGUUAUUGGUAUAUGCUCCUCAUUCUUGGCAUCGUCACGUCGGAUAAAAGUAGUUCGACAUUAGUAUGAGGGAGUGUAACAAUGGGAACACAAUGCUCACAGAACUUGCAAGCUGCUUGUCCGCAUGUAAAUGGAGGCUAAUUCAUAAAGGUUUCACAUUAUAUCGGUGGUUCAUUUCAGAAAGCAAAGAACCAAGGAGCGACUGAGAAAGGGCUCAUAAGUGGCUGCCUCACAGACCUGGUAGCUUACAUUACGCUUAUUUGGAAUCACUUGCUUAACUGUCAUCGUCCGCAGGUGACGAGAAUGAUUUGUUUGUUAAGAUCUGGUGCGAGUUGUGCUCGAAGAAUCAUGCUCACAAUCCCGAUGCAUUGAAAUUCCAACUUAUACAAUUAGUUGGUAUCCUCACCCAAAGUAAGUAAGGAUUGAAUAUCGAUCGUCAAUAGGAAAGACAAAUGUGCGCCAGAGGAAAAAAAGUCGUUUUCUUCUCAACUGUAUGAACAUCAGGCAGCUUCUCAAUUUUUCUAAUACAUCUGUUAGAUAGCGUAAUCGAUAACUGCAGGGGCAAUAGGCUUGUGCAUGCGGUCUCAUUUCGUACUGCUGACUCCAACAUUUCACAUGGUUUGCUAUAGAAAUCCUACACUUCCGUCUCUAAUUGAACCCAAUGUACACAGAGAGAAAGGAGAAGAGAGGGAACUCUGCAUACGAACCUCAUUUUUGCAGACUCUGCGAUGAUUUCCGUAUCUUCAGAAAAUUCGCUACAGCGUAGAAACUUGUUCAUUUUAAGCCAGUUAGGUUUUGAACUUGCUUAUCUGGACUGCCUGACGAGAGUGAGUCAAGCAACGUGAUUCUUCACAUCCUUAACGUGACGUCGUUUGAGUUUUAGAUGUUCACUUCCACACAUGUGAAGGCUGUUUCUGUGGAAAUUGCUCACCUAACUAACGCCAGUGGAAGUGUCGAUGCUUGAGUCAAUCAAUCUUUAAAAAAAAAACACAUUGUCUGGGCGAAUACAAGGAAUUAGGGCAAGCUGAUCCGAGUUCGGCACAGAUUGCUACUUUCUGGAGAGUUUGAGCUCAGGAUAGAGAAAGAGAGCGAGAAACCUCGCCAAAUCCAUCACAGCAGUUCAGGAACUUAAAAGAUUAUCCAAAAUAGCUCUGCUCGUUGAUAUUGCAAUAGGAUUUAUAGUGCAUGGAGUGCAGUUAUGCCUAUUCACUGCAACAACUUUAUGUGCCCUCAGACGUGCCAACUAUAUCACCAUCCAUGGCGAGAGAAUCCAGAAUGUGAGCUUCAAGCAAUUAUUCGACUUGUCCAUGAGGCUGGGGGAAUCCAUUGUCAAUGCGACCGUGGAAUUCAUGGAAAUCUUCCCUUCAGAUCGGGCACCCAACCCUGUUCCAGAUCCUCCAACCGGCUGAGGUAAAACCUUCCACCCACACCCUCUCAACCAGCGCCGAGAACAACAUCCACACAGUUUGAAACAGUCC